rnacentral:sRNA from 1 species
AUUUUAAAAGAUAAAACUUAUUGGAAAGGUUACUGCUUAUCAAAGUAGAAAGCUAACUGUCCUCUAGCGCCAAAGUAUAUACUGAGAAUGAGUGGAAAUCCCCACCAAGUUUCCCAGUGCACUUUAGUCUUCAUUUCCAGCAGCCCUGUAUGUCACUCCUGGUUGUCUCAAGAUCAGACUCAAAUUGUGGAUUGCACUUCCUGUAAUGUGCUCUAGCACGUCUCCUAAUCUCAGCUGCCGAGUGGAGGCUUGCAUUUUCACUCUGGAGAGCUGAGAGUUUGAAUGAGACACAGCUGCAAUGAGACAUCAGGCACUACUCAAAAUUAAUGAGGUGGGAGGGAAGAAGUGUGGGAAAUGGAGUUUCUUGAAAUUUAUGAAUACAGUUUUUGAGACAGCUGUUACCAGAUGAGCAACUAUGGUCAUACCGGUGCAGCUAACCAGGUCCUGAUACGCUUUUAAAGGUGCUAGUGAUUUUUUUUUUCCAGCUAGAAGAAAGGAAUUACACUUUUUAAGCAGAGUUGUCCUCUGUCUUAAAUUUCAUAAAGUAAAGCACCAAGAAAAUAUUUUAUAUGUUGGUGCUGUUUUGUCGUGUAAAUAUAGAUUCCCUUUGUUUCUUUGAUCAAUAGUAAUGUUGAGCUUAUGAAAAUGGUAAAAUGGAGGACACAUGAGACAAGGAUUUUUUAAAGUAGUUGAGAGAUAUUAUAUUGUAUUGAAAUAUACAAUAUAAUCCUAUUUGACAUUUAUUUGUCUUGUUUUUGCUUUUAUUUUAUUACUUCUCUGUUUCCUGAUUCUGUCUUGUGCCUUCUCCUGCAAAAACCUGCCUUAGACCUGUGUUGCGUGGUGGGUCUGCUGCCGCCACUUCUAAUCCUCAUCAUGACAACGUCAGGUAUGGCAUUUCAAAUAUAGAUACAACCACUGAAGGAACGUCAGAUGACCUGACUGUUGUAGAUGCAGCUUCACUAAGACGACAGAUAAUCAAACUAAAUAGACGUCUACAACUUCUGGAAGAGGAGAACAAAGAACGUGCUAAAAGAGAAAUGGUCAUGUAUUCAAUUACUGUAGCUUUCUGGCUGCUUAAUAGCUGGCUCUGGUUUCGCCGCUAGAGGUAACAUCAGCCCUCAAAAAUAUUGUCUCAACAGCUGGAAAUAUAAAAGAUUUGCAAACUUCUUUGUUUCUGUCUCUGCAUUGUAUGCCAUUUUAUAGUCCACACCCUGAAAAUGUAUUUCUUCUAGAAAGUCUGGAGGAAGGGACCUAUAUUUGUAGAAGUAAAGGUAUAUUCUGUCACUCAGCUGUAUUCACGUUUGAGCAGUUCUGCAGUAACACCUGCUUAAAAUUCUCCCUUUGCAUGUUUUGUAAAUAGGCUCCAGUUUUGUUUUUUAAAAGGAAUUUAUUUUUUGCCUCAUCAGUCCACCCAACUGAUUCUGAAUGGGAGAGAGUCUGUAGAGAAUUGAUUCAGAAAAGUGUCUGUGAAAGAAAAACAAUUAUUUUGUCCUGUUUCUCAAACAGUGUUAAGCAGUUUUGUUAAUAGACAUUUUUGCAUCAACAUUAACACUUUCAAAGUCAUGGUCCGGUGCCAGAUUUAAGAAACUCGAACCACCUAAUAUUUCAUAACCUUCUUCAUUAGGUACUUGUACAGAUUAAUUUCUAACAUUCCAGCAGUUUCAUAUGUGUGCAAUAUGUGCAUUCUUUCAUUUUAGUUUUGCACUUGGUUUUCUAUAAAGUACGUUUUUACUCAGUUCAUGUGUGAACAAUUUAAAAAACUACAGAAUAAGGUACAAAUGUAGUGUAUUUAAUAAACUGUCAACCAAAG